UCAGGUACAUCAAGGAAACAAACACCAAAAAUGACCCAAAUGAACUCAACAAUCUUAUCAAGAAAAACUCUGAUGUGAUAACAUGGACCCCUCGACCGGGAGCCACCCUUGAUCUGGGAAGAAUGCUGAAGGAUCGAACAGACAGCAAGGGCAUCAUAGAGCCUCCAGAGGGGACAAAAAUUUACAAGGAUUCCUGGGAUUUUGAACCUUAUUUGGAAAUCUUGAAUGCUGCUCUAGGAGAUGAAAUAUUUCUUCACUCAUCCUGGAUAAAAGAAUACUUCACUUGGGCUGGAUUUAAAGAUUACAACCUUGUGGUCAGGGUAUGCUAUUGUUUGUCUUUGCUUUCUUGUAUAAUGGAAAUACAUGAACACCCCUUUGUCAGAUCCAUAGCCGGGUGGAUGUCAUCAGACACGUGGUGAAGAAUGGUCUACUCUGGGAUGAGUUGUAUAUAGGAUUCCAAACACGGCUCCAGCGGGAUCCUGACAUAUACCAUCACCUGUUUUGGAAUCAUUUUCAAAUAAAACUCCCCCUCACACCACCCAACUGGAAGUCAUUCCUGAUGUGCUGUGAGCAGAAUGGGCCUGUGAUUUUGCAAGUAAGGAAUAUCCUGUGGGUUUGGGAGCUGUCCUACCGUGCAUCCCGUGACACUCUCUUUGACCAGGAAUGCAAAACCACAUGAAAAUUUCAAGAAUUCACUGAUCUGAUGCAAAAUAAAAAUUUAUCAUUACAUCUUGAACCCAGGAAGCUUACAGCAAAGAGACUAUGCUUUAUGACGUCAGCAAUAGAUAAUUCCACGUUGCCUUUGUGAUUUGUAUAUAUAGCUUACAUUUGUGGAUCACUACAUAGCCAGAUUCAAAAAUAUUUUACUUGUUCCAUCCACAGUUCUCUACAGAAAGAACCAAUGAACCCAAUAGGAACAAAUUCUCUGUGGAAAACAAAGCAUAGCUGUAGUAGAUACGAAUCCAAUCACAGAGGAAACAGGAAGAGAAAAACAUCCAAGACUACAGUGAAAACUGGAAAUGGUCUGUUUUCGUGAUAUUCGUAUGAUUAAGAUGCAAAUUUUUUCUUAGGAAAAUGUGAUUGUUAACUAGCAUUCUGUUUUACAUGUUGACAUUUCUAACACACACACCACUGAUUUGAACUUCAAAAUUUAUUUUCUGAUUAUAUAUGCUAG
rnacentral:lncRNA from 1 species